ensembl:lncRNA
GCUUAAAAUCUUCCCUGGCACUGGAAAAUUCCUGCAGUUUCCCCCUCACUUUUCCCAACUUUUUCCCCUCACAUUUCCCACAUUUUUCCCCUUCACAUUUCCUGCCCUUUUCCCCUUCAUAUUUCCCAACUUUUCUCCCUCACCUUUCCCACCCUUUUCCCCUCAGCUUUCACUCAUUUCCCCUCAUGUUUUCCGCCCUUUUUCCUCUCGUCUCCCACCCUUUCCCCCUCAUAUUUCCUACCAUUUUCCAUCAUAUUUCCCGCCCUUUCCCCCUCACGUUUCCCACCCUUUCCCACUCAUGUUUCUUGCCGUAUUCCCCUCAUGUUUCUCACCUUUCCCCCCACAUUUCCCACCCUUUUCCCCUCACAGUUCCCACUUUUUUCCCCUCGCUUUUCCCACCCUUUUCCCCUCACAUUUCCCACCCUUUAUCCCCUCACAUUUCCCAACUUUUUCCCCUCACAUUUCCCACCCUUUCCCCUCACAUUUCCCAACUCUUCCCCCCCACCUUUCUCUCCCUUUUCCCUCUCAUUUCCCACCCUUUUACCCCUCACGUUUCUCACCUUUUCCCCUCACAUUUCCCACCCUUUAUCCCCUCACAUUUCCCAACUUUUCCCCCUCACAUUUCCCAACUUUUCCCCCUCACAUUUCCCGCCCUUUUCCCCCUCACGUUUCUGACCUUUUCCCCUCACAUUUCCCAAUUCUUCCCCCUCACUUUUCUCUCCCUUUCCCUCUCAUUUCCCACCCUUUUCCCCCUCACCUUUUCUGCCCUUUUCCUCUUACAUUUCCUGCCCUUUUUCCCCUCACAUUUCCCACCCUUUUCCCUCAGGUUUCCCUGCACCUUUCCUGCCCUUCCCCCUUAUAUUUCCCUUUCCCCCCUCAUGUUUCUCUCCUUUUCCCCCGCAUUUCCCACCUUUAAUCCCCCUCAUCUUUUCCCCUCACAUUUCCCACCUCUUCCCCCUCACUUUUCUCUCCCUUUUCCCUCACAUUUCCCAACUUUUCCUCUCACGUUUCCUGCCCUUUUCCCCCUUAUAUUUCCCUUUUCCCCCUCACGUUUCUCACCUUUUCCCCUCACAUUUCCCACCCUUUAUCCCCUCACGUUUCCCGCCCUUUUUCCCCUCAGGUUUCUCACCUUUUCCCCUCACAUUUCCCAACUUUUCCCCCUCACGUUUCCUGCCCUUUUCCUCUCACCUUUCCUGCCCUUCCCCCUUAUAUUUCCCUUUCCCCCCUCAUGUUUCUCUCCUUUUCCCCUCACUUUUCUCUCCCUUUUCCCCUCACAUUUCCCGCCCUUUUCCCCUCACAUUUUCCCCUUUUCCCCCCUCACGUUUCCCGCCCUUUCGCCCCUCACAUUUCCAACCAUUUCCCCCUCACAUUUCCCACCCUUUCCCCCUCACUUUUCUCUCCCUUUUCCCUCUCAUUUCCCACGCUUUUCCCCCUCACCUUUUCUGCCCUUUUCCUCUUACAUUUCCCACCCUUUUCCCCUCACGUUUCUCUCCCUUUUCCCUUGCAUUUCCCAUCAUUUCCCCCCCUCAUCUUUUCCCCCUCACAUUUCCCGCCCUUUUCCCCUCACGUUUCCCUCCCUUUUCCCCUCACAUUUUCCACCCUUUUCCCCUCACNNNNNNNNNNNNNNNNNNNNNNNNNNNNNNNNNNNNNNNNNNNNNNNNNNNNNNNNNNNNNNNNNNN